AAAACAGCUAAUAUAUAACAUCCAUAUAUUAACUUUUACCGACAGGAAAAAAAAAAAAAGCACCCAUGUAUGACAACAAUAUGGAAUUGUUAGCUUCACUAUGGACUCUCAAAAACGACUAGAAUGGCUUGAAAAUUGCGUGGAUAACCACAUUACUUAAACCAUGAGCAAGACCAACAUCAAAUAUAAGCCAAGGAGAUGCGCACCACAAUGCAUGAAAUGAAAUUAUAUAUCCAUGCAUUCACCAUUACACCAUCACCACCAUCCUUUGCGUACACCCGUCUCCCAAACCAACCCUCCAACUCUACUACUUAGCCAAUAACACAUCAAAGCAACAAUUAAAUAACAUUCCAUUGGUGAACUACCACCACCUCAUCAACUUAUUUAAUUCCUUNNN
rnacentral:lncRNA from 1 species